rnacentral:misc_RNA from 1 species
AACAUCAAUCCCCAAGGGUUUUCUAACCAGUGGUGGACUUGGACCUGGGCAUCUGCCUCACAAGGCUCGCCUCAAAUGACUUUGUGGGAACUUCUUGACCUACGCCUGACGUGAUAAGUUUCGUCUCGGCUGGUCUUGAGGCCCGCUCAUAACACCCCAUACAUUUUGC